rnacentral:rRNA from 1 species
UCUUCCCUCUGGCGGCGUGCUUAACACAUGCAAGUCGAACGGGAAACCUUUUAUUGAAGCUUCGGCAGAUUUAGCUGGUUUCUAGUGGCGGACGGGUGAGUAACGCGUGGGUAACCUGCCUUAUACAGGGGGAUAACAACCAGAAAUGGUUGCUAAUACCGCAUAAGCGCACAGGACCGCAUGGUCCGGUGUGAAAAACUCCGGUGGUAUAAGAUGGACCCGCGUUGGAUUAGCUAGUUGGCAGGGUAACGGCCUACCAAGGCGACGAUCCAUAGCCGGCCUGAGAGGAUGAACGGCCACAUUGGGACUGAGACACGGCCCAGACUCCUACGGGAGGCAGCAGUGGGGAAUAUUGCACAAUGGGGGAAACCCUGAUGCAGCGACGCCGCGUGAAGGAAGAAGUAUCUCGGUAUGUAAACUUCUAUCAGCAGGGAAGAUAGUGACGGUACCUGACGAAGAAGCCCCGGCUAACUACGUG